rnacentral:rRNA from 1 species
AGCGAACGCUGGCGGCAGGCUUAACACAUGCAAGUCGAACGCCCCGCAAGGGGAGUGGCAGACGGGUGAGUAACACGUGGGAACGUACCCUUUGGUUCGGAGUAACUUGGGGAAACUCAAGCUAAUACCGGAUAAGCCCUUAUGGGGAAAGGUUUACUGCCGAAGGAUCGGCCCGCGUCUGAUUAGCUAGUUGGUGAGGUAAUGGCUCACCAAGGCGACGAUCAGUAGCUGGUGUGAGAGGAUGAUCAGCCACACUGGGACUGAGACACGGCCCAGACUCCUACGGGAGGCAGCAGUGGGGAAUAUUGGACAAUGGAGGCAACCCUGAUCCAGCCAUGCCGCGUGAGUGAUGAAGGCCUUAGGGUUGUAAAGCUCUUUUACCCGGGACGAUAAUGACUGUACCGGGAGAAUAAGCCCCGGCUAACUUCGUGCCAGCCGCCGCCGUAA